rnacentral:rRNA from 1 species
GUAUAGUUGAAGGAUUUGGAAAAUUCCGCUAAAGAGGGUGAAAGCCCCGUAGACGAAAUGCUAACAACACCUAGGAGGAUCCUGAGUACGGCGGAACACGAGAAAUUCCGUCGGAAUCCGCGGGGACCAUCCCGCAAGGCUAAAUACUCCCUAGUGACCGAUAGUGAACCAGUACCGUGAGGGAAAGGUGAAAAGCACCCCGGAAGGGGAGUGAAAUAGAUCCUGAAACCGUGUGCCUACAACAAGUCAAAGCUCGUUAAUGAGUGAUGGCGUGCCUUUUGUAGAAUGAACCGGCGAGUUACGAUUGCAUGCGAGGUUAAGUCGAAGAGACGGAGCCGCAGCGAAAGCGAGUCUGAAUAGGGCGAAUGAGUAUGUAGUCGUAGACCCGAAACCAUGUGAUCUACCCAUGUCCAGGUUGAAGGUGCGGUAAAACGCACUGGAGGACCGAACCCACGUACGUUGAAAAGUGCGGGGAUGAGGUGUGGGUAGCGGAGAAAUUCCAAACGAACUUGGAGAUAGCUGGUUCUCUCCGAAAUAGCUUUAGGGCUAGCCUCGGAAUUGAGAAUGAUGGAGGUAGAGCACUGUUUGGACUAGGGGCCCAUCUCGGGUUACCGAAUUCAGAUAAACUCCGAAUGCCAUUCAUUUAUAUCCGGGAGUCAGACUGCGAGUGAUAAGAUCCGUAGUCGAAAGGGAAACAGCCCAGACCACCAGCUAAGGUCCCAAAAUAUAUGUUAAGUGGAAAAGGAUGUGGGGUUGCACAGACAACUAGGAUGUUGGCUUAGAAGCAGCCACCAUUUAAAGAGUGCGUAAUAGCUCACUAGUCGAGUGACCCUGCGCCGAAAAUGUACCGGGGCUAAACAUAUUACCGAAGCUGUGGACUACACCAUUAGGUGUAGUGGUAGGAGAGCGUUCUAAGGGCGUUGAAGGUCGAUCGUGAGGACGGCUGGAGCGCUUAGAAGUGAGAAUGCCGGUAUGAGUAGCGAAAGACAGGUGAGAAUCCUGUCCACCGUAUGACUAAGGUUUCCUGGGGAAGGCUCGUCCGCCCAGGGUUAGUCGGGACCUAAGCCGAGGCCGAUAGGCGUAGGCGAUGGACAACAGGUUGAUAUUCCUGUACCAGUUGUUUUUGUUUGAGCAAUGGAGGGACGCAGUAGGCUAAGGAAUGCAUGCGAUUGGAAGUGCAUGUCCAAGCAAUGAGUCUUGAG